CGAAGGCAAGCGGAUCUCUUAAAGCCGUUCUCAGUUCGGACUGUAGGCUGCAACUCGCCUACACGAAGCUGGAAUCGCUAGUAAUCGCGGAUCAGCACGCCGCGGUGAAUACGUUCCCGGGCCUUGUACACACCGCCCGUCACACCAUGAGAGUCUGUAACACCCAAAGCCGGUAGGAUAACCUUUAUAGGAGUCAGCCGUCUAAGGUAGGACAGAUGAUUAGGGUGAAGUCGUAACAAGGUAGC
rnacentral:rRNA from 1 species